CAUAGAAGUCAGCCUCAUUUCUCUUCUCACUGAGAACACAGACAUGAGACUCUCCCCAUGGCGGUUAGAAACCUCCUGUCUCAUUCACUGAGAGAACCUGAGGGGUAUGAGCCUCGAGGGCAGGGAGGAAGGGACUAGAGCAUGCUGAGUGGGUCUUUGGAUCUCCAGUCCCCUUCUUUACUAUUGUAACAGACAGGAUUAGCUAUGGUCAGAGUAGGAAUCAGUCUAGGACCCCAGCCCUUGGAAUGGUGCCACCCACAAUGAAGACGAGUUUUCCAUCUCAAGUAACCUAACCUGGAUAAUCCCUCGCCCACGUGCCUAAAGGCUUGUUUCCUAGGCUGCCAAGAGAAUGCAUGGCCCAGAUUAAAGAUGUGUCUUUCCACCUUAAAUGAUUAAAAACCACCCCCUGGGGGCUGCAAUCAGGAUGUAAACCUGCCUGUGGGAACCUAGAAGUCCCGCCUCUUCCAACCAGCCAUUGGCCUCUGGCAUCUGUUUUGAUCCACCAAGACCAAGAACCAAUUGGAGAACAGGACGUUCAACAUUCACAUGCAGGUGUCCCUUCUGAGCACUCUUCAUCUGUCCAUAAACUGUGUCAACAUCGUAAAAUACCCAGCACUGUGGAGGAGCAGGCACAACUGAUGACUCCCAGUGUCGUUCUUCCAGCGUGGCAUGUGCCUGCCCAUCCCAGACCGGGGGCGGUUUCUCUUCAGGGUUACAGAGACACCAACAGCAGCAAAGACAAGAAGACAGAAGUAUGGAGAUGUUGAGCCACUUCCCUACAGGCACAGUCUAUCAUUGGAAUAACUCUCCACUCUGAAGUCACAGCGUAUGUUUUUGGCUGGUACACAGCAACCAUGUGUCCUGAGUCCCCUUCUUCACCUGGCACCUGCUUGGGACUUGCUUGAAAACAAAACCAAAGGCCACAGGAAGCCCAGAGUGUACAUCACAGGCGUGAAGAAGAGAUCGCCUCUUAUUAGCUACAGGACCUUGGGCGGGCCUGUUGGUGCCUCCGUUUCCCCAUCUGUAAACCCUAUCUUUCUAGGUGAGCCCUGCAUGAAACUGAGCAUGCUUCUUGAUGACACAGAAAACCAAACAAGCAAGUGGAAGAUUGGGGACCAAGUUAGGAAGAUUUCCUUUGAAGAGAACAUAGCCCAGUGGAGGGCUUCGGACCCAAGGAUGAAUCAAGGGCCAUGGGCCACACAAUCAGUCAUGGUCCCCUGUCCUUGUUGAGUAUAUGGACUCAUGGAUAGAUGUGGGACAGGAUGGACUCAUGGAUAGAUGUGGGACAGGAUGGACCCAUGGAUAGGUGUGGGACAGGAUGGACUCAUGGAUAGGUGUGGGACAGGAUGGACCCAUGGAUAGGUGUGGGACAGGAUGGACUCAUGGAUAGGUGUGGGACAGGAUGGACUCAUGGAUAGGUGUGGGACAGGAUGGACCCAUGGAUAGAUGUGGGACAGGAUGGACUCAUGGAUAGAUGUGGGACAGGAUGGACCCAUGGAUAGGUGUGGGACAGGAUGGACCCAUGGAUAGGUGUGGGACAGGAUGGACCCAUGGAUAGGUGUGGGACAGGAUGGACUCAUGGAUAGGUGUGGGACAGGAUGGACUCAUGGAUAGAUGUGGGACAGGAUGGACUCAUGGAUAGAUGUGGGACAGGAUGGACUCAUGGAUAGGUGUGGGACAGGAUGGACUCAUGGAUAGGUGUGGGACAGGAUGGACUCAUGGAUAGGUGUGGGACAGGAUGGACUCAUGGAUAGGUGUGGGACAGGAUGGACUCAUGGAUAGAUGUGGGACAGGAUGGACUCAUGGAUAGGUGUGGGACAGGAUGGACUCAUGGAUAGAUGUGGGACAGGAUGGACUCAUGGAUAGGUGUGGGACAGGAUGGACUCAUGGAUAGAUGUGGGACAGGAUGGACUCAUGGAUAGAUGUGGGACAGGAUGGACCCAUGGAUAGAUGUAGGACAGGAUGGACCCAUGGAUAGGUGUGGGACAGGAUGGACUCAUGGAUAGAUGUGGGACAGGAUGGACUCAUGGAUAGGUGUGGGACAGGAUGGACUCAUGGAUAGGUGUGGGACAGGAUGGACUCAUGGAUAGAUGUGGGACAGGAUGGACUCAUGGAUAGGUGUGGGACAGGAUGGACCCAUGGAUAGAUGUGGGACAGGAUGGACUCAUGGAUAGGUGUGGGACAGGAUGGACCCAUGGAUAGGUGUGGGACAGGAUGGACAGACACGGGGAUACGUACGAUACUUCCAGACACACAAACUCUAUCUGCAGAGUCCUGUUCCUCUCCCUAUCCCACCACCUCUCUCCCCGCAGGCUUUCAUGUGCUGGUCCCUCUGCCUUCAAUUCCAGUCAAUUUAGAAGACCCCGUCGAAUCCUACCUGGCCAGACCUGCUGAUCCUGCCAAGAACGGAGUACUGAUGGCUGCCCCAGGGACAGAGCCAGCCUCUUACCUGCUUUGGGGUGAGCAAGCCAAGGCUCAGAGACAAUAACUAACUUCUCCUCCUGGUUCCACAGCCAGCAAGCAGCCAAGAAGAGAGUGUAGCCCACAUCAAGCUGCACAGAUAAAUAUUCUAGUCAGGCACAGUCCUCUUCAGCUAGAGCCUGGGCAGUACCUUCGGAGUUGGGCCACACAUCUGUAGCAAGAGGGCUACCUUACUGUUAUUUGUGAUGCACCCCUUGGGUGACUGGGAGCUACAAAAUGUUCUAAAGAAGAGAAGAAGCCCAAUUGAAAUGAGGAAGCAUUUCUUUGUGACUAUUUCUGGUAAACGUGUGAAGACAUUUUCCCCAAACUACCUACACAGCUUCUGUACUGUUUUGGGUUUUCUAUUAUUCCUCUAAGUAAUUUUUUAAUUAUUUAAUUUAAUUAUUUAAAGAAUUUAAUCCUCUAAAAAACUUUAUUAUAUAUUCCCAGUGUUGUGGACUGAACUUGGGGGCCUCAUGAAUGCUAAGCAAACACUCUACCAUUGAAUAUUCCCAACCCUGAUCCUCUUUUUACCUUUUAUUUUAUUUAUUUAUUUAUUUAUUUAUUUAUUUAUUUAUUUUUUUUGGUUCUUUUUUUCGGAGCUGGGGACCGAACCCAGGGCCUUGCGCUUCCUAGGUAAGCGCUCUACCACUGAGCUAAAUCCCCAGCCCCUACCUUUUAUUUUUAAUGACGUAUAUAUAGGCGUGUCUGUGCAGGAGUGUGUUCAUGUGAGCACAGUUGCACAUGGUGGCCAGAAGAAGGCCUUGGUUUCCCCCCAGACUCUGAGUUACAGAAGGUUGUGUACUGCCUAUCAUGGUACUAGAAAUUGAACUCAGGUCCUCUGCAAGAGCAGUGAAUUUUAGCUGCUGAGCCAUCUCUCCAGCCCUAGGCUCAUGCUUGCAUCUAGCUUUAUAUUCUUUUUCAGAAAGAGAAUCGCUUUUUUUUUGGUUCUUUUUUUUGGAGCUGGGGACCGAACCCAGGGCCUUGCGCUUCCUAGGUAAGCGCUCUACCACUGAGCUAAAUCCCCAGCCCCGAGAAUCGCUUUUGAGCCAGCCGUGUUGAUGCAUUUUUAUAAUCCCAGUACUUUGAAGACUGACAGGACGAGGAUGAGUGUGAAGUUAGUGUGAGCUACAGAAUAAGAUCCUGGGGUGUGUAGCAGGGAGAGCCUUUCGCUGAAAUGCUCAUACCUGAGGUCUGAGUUGGUGGCACCCUGUGACAAUCCAGCGCACUGUCUCGACUCUCUUCGAGGUCCCUUCCCCUUUCCACGGUUUCAAGAUGUUGAGGUUUCCUGCUGAUGGUUCUGUCCCCCAACCCCACUUCUCUUUAUAAACAGAACCGGGAGAGGUUUGGUAAUCAGGAAACGAAUGAAUGCAGGUGGGUCUCUUUAAUGACCGUCAGGGAGUGUAAAAGAUUCAAUUCGAGUUUCAAACUCCAACCCCAGCUUCCUGGGUGCCACGUCUGCCUAGCUGAUGAGGACCACUGACCACAUGGGCAGGACUUGUCUGGUGUGGGCGAUAUCUCACUAAGAAACCCCUUCACUCUCCUAUCAUGUCAGUGAGCUUUGCAAUAAGAGUGAGUUCCGGGAUCCUCAGGUCUAGGCCUCCUGCUCUCAGCAAGGCCUGAGCUGCCCCUUGAGGCCUUGAAGCUACAAAGAACUCUGUGAUGACAGCAGGUCAAAGGCCUCCUCCAGACGAGGAAGUGAAAGUGCUGCUGGGUGAGCCAUGAGGGUCGCCUGGCACUGUUUGGUGCUGGAAGUGGCCAGAUAGGAAGAUGUGCCAGAGGGACGGGGAAGGCCUGAUGUCACCUCCCUGUACUCCCUAGACGCUGGGAUUGUUUGCUAAGAGAAGCGACUGUAUAUGAGACACCAUCUCUUUCCCAUGGGUCUGAAGAGAUAUUGAGAGGACAGAAGCUGGACACAGUUUGCAGGAAGGGCAGAUGGAGCCAAAGGAGCAGGUCUCGGAGGCUACAUGACAGGGUGCAGGGUCUGGUGCAUGGUGGCCACCUGGCACUAAUGAUAGCUAAUGCAGAUGGGGCCAUCCAGGCAGUGGUCAGGGUGUGUGCUGCUUUAGAAAACUUCUUGCUUUAGAAGGCCAGCUCUGCCUCUCCCUAGCUACAGCAGCUCAGAGAGAUACUUGACUUCCUACCCCCAUACCCCUACCUCUUCUGAGGUGGAAGCCCACUACUGCAGAAUAUUUCAGUGUGACCUGUCCCCACCAAAGCUUGUGUUGAAGCUUCAACUUCUGAGCCCUUAAUCACAAUAUUAAAGCACUGAGGAGGUGUUGGGAGUCAUAAGAGAUUAAUGUUUUCCUCACAAGACUGGCUAUUACAUAGCAAAUUUAGCUUCCUCUGCUCCAGCCCUGGCUUCCUCUUUACACAUUCUCCAUCCACAUGAUGUCAUUCAGCUUGUUGGGACACAAUUCAGAACCCUGUCUUUCUCAGAAUUUUACCCAGAGGCUGCCCCUACCCCCACCUCAUACACACACACAACACCCGACCACAAGUUUGAUAGCCUUUCUCUCAGGCUUGGGCCUUGGGAGUAUUCCCACCUAUCUGAGUCCUUCCUCUGUUUUGUUCCAGCUGUGGGCCUUGAAGGGUCCAUUGGGCUUCCUAUUGCUCCAGAGCCUUCAACUGCAGCAGAAAGAGGGGACCUGGCCUGGGUUUGUUGUACUACGAUGGUGGUGCUAUGAAGGGGACAUGUGGCACUGGAGAGGGGGGUGUUCUGCCAUUGAACUCUUAUCAGAAAUCAACCAUAUUCAGGGUCCCAGGGGACUGCCAAGCAGCCUUUUGCUUUUCCAGUCCUUUGGCUCUGUGAAAUGCAUCAUGGGCAAGGGAGCAGGGUGCUGCCUGUUGGUUGGCCUGCAGGUCUGCCUAUCCCUGCAAACUGAUUUCCUCAGGCUUCUUCAUGAGCUAAGUGUCUUGCUAUGUUGGGCCAAGAGGAAGGAGAAUGGUGGUGUGGGCAAAAAGGGAGAAGUCCUGACCUCUCUCCCGAUCUCUCUCUGGUUCUCCUGCCCACCCUCUUUACUGAAAGGACACGAGUGCUGGAGCCAUUUUCCCAGCACCAGCUGUUCUCUGUCUUUAGCUCCCACAGAACAGCCCAUCCAUCCAAAGUUCUAGCUCCACAUGCGGUCCCUGUGGACACUGUCAGACUGCCACAAGCAGUCCCCAACUCCCUUUACAUCCAGCUCUGGAGUGGAAGCAGUUUCUUCAAUUGCUGGACACCAAACUGCCCCACAGUUGGCUUUUCAGCCCUUCUCUUCCUUGUAACCCGUUUGAAAUAUUCAGAGCAGCUUCGGUUUUUCUGAUUUUCUCUGUUGUUUUGCAGUGAGCAUUAGGCGUUUUUUUUCCUCCCGUGAACGUUCCUCUUCUCCAUCCCCAGUCUGUUCUGGAGGAUCAGAGGCAGCGCUCUGAGGUCCUGUCACUGACAGAGUGGAGGAGGCUCUAAGUCCUCAAAGUUUUUUUUUUUUUUCAGAAAGCCUGCUCCCAGGAAGUCUAGGACAGGGGACAUGUUUUCUACUUCUUUCAAAACUGAAAGCCAGUGGGACAGAAGACAUCGUGGAAGGGAGCAGAGCACCAUGCAGCAAGCUGCCUCUUACCUGUCUUCCUGGGACUUCCUGGGACUUCCUGGGACUGAGACUAAGGUUUGAGAACCAGCUCUGGAGGGGAUGCAGGUGGAUUCUGUGCUCAACAAUGGCCCCAGAGCCCUGCUCCCAAAGGGGCAGCUGCUGGGACAACUUUCACAGCAGAGAGCAGCUGUCCUGCCUCCCAGCAGUGUCUCCAGUGGCUGCUCACAGACAUCCUGGAAUUAGUCUCUCCAUGCCUCUUCGUCUGUACCGAGCCCAGGCAGAGGUCAUUUUAGCUACGAGGUCAGGAGAAACCUGGGAACUCAUCCAGUCCAACAUCAUCCUCUAUGUAACACAGGGGCAAACUGAGGCUCGGAAUAGAGAUGUCGUUUGGAUUGAAGGAGGUGACACAGGUGAACUAAGACAGAGCCCAAGACCAUGUGACCUACCAAGGCAGCUGUGGGAGCAUAUGUGUAUUGUAUGUGCUCACGUGUAUCAGAGAGGGCAUGUAUGUUUACCAGCCAUCACAGAGACUACAGGCUCAGUUCCAAGGCUUACACAUAUGUAAGCAUACACAUUUAUGUGUGUCCCAUUACACACACAGUGACAAGCUUGUAUCUUACAGACCCACCAUCAUAUACAGGAUCUCACAUGCAAGUACUGUACUAUGUCUCACCACCGGGGUCUAAGCUCAUAACAGCAAAUGCACAGAGAUAUGCAACGGUUUACCAAAGUGGCCUCAUAUUCAAGGACACACGUCACACCCUGCAGGCCUUUGUGUUUACCCCCCAGAGUGUGUACAGAGCACAGCACAGUUUAUGGGUAUCAUUCCUAUGUGGAUGCUCUUGAUCACAUACAACUUCUCUCCUGUGUUUCCUCCUAACUCACAAGUGGCCCUGUCCAAGUAUAGAUGCAGCCUAUGCCCUCACAUGAAUGCACAGAAUGCUAUCCAACCUUGUCAUUUGUUUUUGAGUUCUAAACUGGACUCACGAUCAGACUCACAACCCCCAGCUUAUCCUUCUGAGUGUUGGCAAAAUGUUCUCCCCAUCACUGACUUCUUCACAGUACCUCGAAGCCAUGUGUUUUGACCCCUUCUUUUUUUUUUUAUUCUUUUUUUUGGAGCUGGGGACCGAACCCAGGGCCUUGCGCUUGCUAGGCAAGCGCUCUACCACUGAGCUAAAUCCCCAACCCCUUGACCCCUUCUUGGUGGCCCCUUGGAACCAUCUGCCUGCCCUUGGAACUGAGGGAGCACCCUGGUCCUCCCACCUUCAUCCCUAGAGACUUGGUGGCUGAGGUCCCAGGGGAAGAGGAAUGGCUACCAAGAGCUCAAGGUUCUGGGGCCAAAGUCCUGUUUGCAGGCCCUGUAGGAAGUUGCACAAUCUGCCCCAGCCAGCCAGCCAGUGACUCUUUCAUUGUCUCUGGCUUCCCUUUGGCUGCAGGCCCAGUCCCCAGCAGCCCAGUGACCUGUUUCUCUGGAAAAAAGGCAGGUGCUCCUCCCUCCCCCACCCUGGGGUGGCCAGGGUGGUGACAAGAGCCACAAGGCCAGUCUCCCCUUCUCAGCCAAGAAGCUAAGGCCCAGGCUAGGUCAGGUUCUUGCCCAUGUCACCCCACUAGCCCAGUAGGACUUGAUUUUUCCUCCCAAACUCUUCACUGUCUUGCAGAAGCCUGACGGUUGGAAUGGUGCUGAGCAGAGCCACUCUGAGUGUGGAAGGAGCUAACACUGAGUGUGAGCCAGCCUGUGCACCAGUGGCCGCCUUGGCUGAGGGGGAUGAGAGCAGAUCAUAUUGAAAUGUCCCCAGCACAUGGAGCUUACAGAAUUGAUCCAUCCGCCUCGACUUCUAAUAGUCUUUUUCAUUUUGUAAAAUCUUCAAGAAAACACAUGAGGGGAGUUGGCAAAACAUUUGAGGACUGUGAGGAGUCAGGACUGGCCCAUGCUGGUUCACCCAGUUCUCUCUGAAUCUUUAUUCCAUUCCCCUUCUGCACAACAACAAAGUGGGAGAGGGUAGAGAUAAAGAGAACAUUCCAGAAAUUCCCAGAAAUCUUCUAAAGCUAUGAAUAACCAUGUUAUGCCUGCUGCUUUCCCUCCCUCUCUCCCUCCCUCCCUGCCUCCCUGAUGGAAUCCUUAAACAGCCCGAGGAAGGUCAUGGUUGCUUCUGUGCGGGUCCAGCGGCCCGGUGACAGGAUGUCAGGGUCAGAGACGGGCCUAUGUAGAGGGUGUACUAUAGGGAGAGGAGACCAGGAGUAAAGGUCUGCAUUGCUCUUUGAUGAAGAAGGUUUAGAUGUGGAAAAGGAGAAACUGAGGCAGGACUCUUCAGGUAUUAGCUUGGGCUUGAGACUAUCAUUGAGACCCUGUGGUUUAGGAGGAGGAUCCUUAGGUGAGAAUCCAUUAUUUCCGACGAGGAACUAAUCCUAGUGCUGGCCCAAGGGAGCCUCAGAUCGAACCUAGAACAUUUUAUUGUGUCCAGAAGCAGGGACAUGCUCAACAAGUGAUAGGGACAUGCAGAAGGCAUAGGAGCCAGCUGUCAGGGACUUCUGAUCAGUGUGAUGGACUUAGAACAUGAGAGUAAGCUGGGUUGGAGAGAUGGCUCAGAGGUUAAGGGCACUGGCAGCUCUUGCAGAAGGCCUGGGUUCAGUUCUCAGCAACCACAUGGCAGCUCACAUGUCUGUAACUCCAGUUUCAAGGGAUUAGAUUAGAUACCCUCUUCUGGAUUUUGGAUGCAUGCGGCACACACAUGUAGGCAAAUACCCAUAGACAUAAAGUGAAAAUAAAUCUUUAAAGUAGUAGCAAAGGCAGUGAAUUAUAAUGCAUUGGAUAGAGUAAAUCUACCCUGCUAAAAUAAACAAAUGAAUUAAGAGAAA